rnacentral:rRNA from 1 species
GAUGAACGCUAGCGGCAGGCCUAAUACAUGCAAGUCGAGGGGUAACGAGUUCUGCUUGCAGAAUGUCGACGACCGGCGCACGGGUGCGUAACGCGUAUACAACUUACCUUUAUCUGGAGGAUAGCCCGGAGAAAUUCGGAUUAAUACUCCAUAGUAUUAUAAAGUAGCAUUGCUUAAUAAUUAAAGAUUUAUCGGAUAAAGAUAGGUAUGCGUCCCAUUAGCUAGUUGGUGCAGGUAACGGCUCACCAAGGCGACGAUGGGUAGGGGUUCUGAGAGGAAGGUCCCCCACACUGGCACUGAGAUACGGGCCAGACUCCUACGGGAGGCAGCAGUAGGGAAUAUUGGUCAAUGGAGGCAACUCUGAACCAGCCAUGCCGCGUGAACGAUGAAGGCCUUCGGGUUGUAAAGUUCUUUUGUAUGGGAAGAAACUCACCCUUGCGAGGGUGCUUGACGGUACCAUAAGAAUAAGCACCGGCUAACUCCG